CAGUCCUCCUCGUCUCUCAGCAGAGCAGCAGCAGUGGCGCCAGGGCACCGACCUUUAGACACAACUACUGUUUCACUCAACAAUCUUUUUCCUCCGCUGAUCCCUUCCUCCACCCCUCCUCUUCUGCCUCCUCCGCCCUCCCCGCUCAUCUCCUCCUUCCUCUGAUUAUGAAGAUGAGAACUGGUUCCCGUCUCCUCUGCUUCUGUUGUGCCUCCACCUGAACAGCGUCCUCUCUCUUCGCUCUGCCAAGAUGUCCAUCCAGCAGCUCCAUGUCCUUCCGGCAGAACAGGAAAAAAGCAAAGUGAAGUGAAUCAAAGCAAGCUUCCUAUCUGCACUCUGCCUUCCACGGCCUGCUGCAGAGAAGCAUCCCCACGACAUGAUGCUGCCACCACUGUGCUUCACAGUGGGGAUGUGCAGUAAUUGGUACCCACCAAGAAUA